AUUGAACGCUGGCGGCAGGCCUAACACAUGCAAGUCGAGCGAGCGGCGGACGGGUGACUAAUGUAGGGGGACUGCCCGAUAGAGGGGGAUAACUACUGGAAACGGUAGCUAUUACAGCAUAUUAUCGGAUAACCCAUAUGGGAUUAGCUAGUUGGUGAGGUAAUGGCUCACCUAGGCGACGAUCCCUAGCUGGUCUGAGAGGAUGAUCGGCCACAAUGGACAUGAGACACGGCCCAAAAUCCUACGGAGGCAGCAGUGGGGAAUAUUGCACAAUGGGCGCAAGCCUGAUGCAGCCAUGCCGCGUGUAUGAAGAAGGCCCUAGGGUUGUAAAGUACUUUCAGUCGGGAGGCGUUACCGACAGAAGAAGCACCGGCUAACUCCGUGCCAGCAGCCGCGGUAAUAC
rnacentral:rRNA from 1 species